rnacentral:lncRNA from 1 species
UCAUGAUGACAGGAGCUCUUCCAUCAUGUCCUUGAUGCUUUGUCAAUAUGUGCCUACAGCAUCGCCUACAGAAGACCAACCCAGCUGCUGCUGUUAUUUCACUCCAGGAAUUGGCUGUCCUGUUCUUUCUAUCAGCUUGUUUGUCUGGGUGGUCUGGGAUAACUGACAUCGGUGAGAAAAACAUUCUUUUUUCAUAGUGUGAUUUAUUUUUAUUUUUUAGCCCAGACCAUUUCACUCAGCUUGCUUAGGCAGUGCACACAGGAAGACCUGGAAGGGCAAGCAGAAGAGCAGCAGUCAGCAGGACAUGUGGAGAAGCAGAGCAGCUCCAGGCAAUGCCCUCCUACCUCCAUGUGUCUUCGCUGGCCCAGGAUCAUCAGCAGCCAGAUAUAAAAUGAAAAAUGAACAAAAAAGGACACAAUUUUGCAACUACCUGUGGAACUCAUCUACACUUGGCUUCAGAACACAAGACGACUAAACACAAGAUGAAUAAAAGAUGAGAGG